GAGGGGCGUCGUGAUAGAAUCUCUCUGCGCUUCUGAGAGUCUGUCACACUAUCCACCGACUCCUGUGAAUCUUCGCUUUCUGCUAUGGUGGAAAUCUGGAGCAAACACACACAUAAACAACACGGUGUGUGUCUGACCUGUACAGCCUGGACCUGUGGGGACUGGAUGACAGACGGCUGAGCGGCCUGGAUGACGCCGUGGACCUGAACCGUCUGCCCGUUGGGAAGCUGUACCAGCGUUACCGUGGGACCCGUUGCUGAGGCGUGUCCUGUUGCCAUGGAUACCUAAAAAUCAAAAGUGAUGUCACCGUGCCGUCUGUCCUGUGCAGCAGUUUUACAUUUGUCACGUAAAAAAUGAACAACAAUGCACACAUUUUGUCUUGUUUUUUUGUCUGGCUUUUUUGUGUUUACGUUUUGUCUCGCUUGUGUUUUUGUCUUAUUUUUGUCAUUUUGUGUUUUGCUUUAUUCGUUGUUUUGAGCAUCGUUUUUCCAGUUUUGUUUGUCUGUCUCGCUGUGCUCGCUUGUCUUGUUUCUCACUUUUGUCAUUCAUGUAAUUUUUUGUCUCAUUUUGUCCUUUGAUUUUUUUUGUCGCUUUGUAGCUUUCUUGGCUAAUUUUUUGUCUCUUUUUUGUUUUGUUUUGUGUCGUUUGUCCUAUGCUUUGGUCGUUUUGUCUCCCGCUUUUGCCAUAUUUUGUCUUAUUUUUGGUGUUUUUUCAUCUGACUUUUGUCAGUUUGAUUCAGCUCCAGAUACCUGUCAUUCAUUUAUUUUUCUCGAGAAAUUUCAGGUUGUUCAUAGUGUUUUGCAAAAAGAGAAUUCCUUAAAUAUGAACAUUUUUGUGCUAAAAGAAUGGAAAAAUUUGGAGUUGUGGUUACCUCUAGGUUAUUAUUCCAAAUUCAUUUCUUAUUAAGGAUCAAUAAAGUGUUUUGUUUUUACAUAACCUGGGCAAAAGUUGUGCUAGAAGCAGUGCUAAUAGUGUUAGCAUCGUGUGUUACCUGUGCUAAGGUAGCGAUCUGUGCCGGAGUGAUCUGCUGGCUCUCCGUCUCCGUCACAGCAGUCUCCGCCCCCUGCUGAACCUCGGCUGCUGACUCCAUCUUCAUUUGCUGAGCUGAGGAUGAGAAAUUUAUGAAGUUUAGUUUCAAAUGUGCACAAAAACCUACCAAGAUUCUAAACAGGUUGCUAGGACGCCGCUACCAACAAAAUCAAAAGUCACCGAUCCCUAAAAAUCCUAAUUUUCGUAUUUUUUUCCCAAGAAAUGCUUCUGAAGGGUUCUAAAAGUUCCUCAAAAAUGGUUCUUCAGAAGUCAAAUACAUAUGAUGAUCCUCUUCUACAAGUCCCGGUAGUUAAAUACACCGGAACCAGCAGUAGUAAUGUUUUGUGAACUGCAACUUUAAUUAGAGAUCCUCAAAAAUAUUCGAAAUAUUAUCAAAAUCACAAUAUGGACAAGUGCAAUGUGCAAAUUGUAGCACCUGCUCUUUUUUUUAUAUAAAACAUGCCACAACAAACAGUUUUAAAUGGGGCAUUGUGGUGCUACAGAGAUUCAUAUUCUGUCAGGGAACAUGCUUGUUUGAUAGAGACCAUAGCAAAUUCUUUUUAUUAUAAUAUUAUUUUAUUAUAAUAAAGCAGGGGUGUCCAACAUGCGGCCUGCGGGCCAAAACCGGCCCAACAGAGGGUCCAAUCCGGCCCUCAAAGUGUAAAAAUUCCAGAGAAGACAUAAACCGCAGAUUGUAAAUUAGUAAAACUAUAAAUUUAAAAUAAUUUCUAAUCCACGAUAAGCUGUUCUGAUCAGAAAGUAAAAUACUAGAUUGUUCAUUGUUAUUUUAAGUCUCAUUUUAGUAAUAUUUUGCCUUGUUUUGUUUCUUUGUCAUUUGUCUCAUGUUUUUGUUUCUCAUUUUGUCAUUUUGUGUUUUUUUGUCACUUUGCUUCUCACUUGUGUCAUUUUUUUGUCUUGUCUGUCAUUUGUGUAAUUUGUCUCGGUUUUGUCGUUCCAUCGUGCCCAUUAAUCAUCGCUUUGUAACUUUUUGUCUCAUUUUUUUAUUUUGUUUUGUGUCAUUUGUCUCAUUUUUUGUGUUUUUGUGUCUGCUUUUUGUCUCGCUAGUGCUUUUUGUCUCAUUUUUGAAAUAUUUAGUCUCAGUUUUUUGUCUGACUUUGUCAUCUGUCUCAUGUUUUUAAUGUUUUGUGUUUCCUUUUCCUCUCACUUGAAUUGUCUUAUUUUUGUCAUAUCGUGUUUUGCUUUAUUCAUUGUUUUGUGUCGUUUUGUCUUUCUUUGUCUCACUUGUGUUGUUUGUCCAUUUCUUUUGUCGUUUUGUAACUUUUUAAUCAAAUUUUUAUACGUCUCUUUUGUUUGAUUCAUGUUGUUUGUCACAUUUUUGUAAUUUUGUUUCUCAUUCUGGUAAUAUUUUGUGUUUUGUCUUUUUUUGUUGUUCUCCUCUGUUGGUCAGUUCCAGAUGACUAAAUGCUGUGUUCAUUUUUAGACACUCUGUGAUCUGGAAGUUAAAAUGUGGAAAUGAUAAACUGAGGCUGAAUGUUGUUGAAACUGAAUUUGUUUAUUUAUCUUAAGAAAUUUCAGGUUGCUCAUGAUGUUUUGUAAAAAGAUCAUUCUUCAAAUGUGAACAUUUUCUGAAGGUACUUUUAUGCACUAAAACAAAUGAAACAUUAGGAGUUGUGGUUAUUUAUUUACAGGUUGUUAUGCUGUGAUUUUACUGAUCCAGUCCACUGGAGAUCAAACUGGUCUGAAUGUGGAACUAGAACGAGUUGGACUCCCCUGACAUAAAGAGUUAGUGGAUUAUUAUUCAUGUUAUCAUAAUGAGUCAGGGGGUUAUUAUUGUUUUAAAAAGGAGUGGAUGGAUUAUUAUUAUUAUUAUUAUUAUAAGGAGGUGUUGGAUUAUUUUUUAUUCUAAUAAAUGAGCUCCGUGUGUGGCUCUGCUGUU